rnacentral:rRNA from 1 species
CCUACGGGUGGCAGCAGUCGAGAAUCAUUCACAAUGGGGGAAACCCUGAUGGUGCGACGCCGCGUGGGGGAAUGAAGGUCUUCGGAUUGUAAACCCCUGUCAUGUGGGAGCAAAUUAAAAAGAUAGUACCACAAGAGGAAGAGACGGCUAACUCUGUGCCAGCAGCCGCGGUAAUACAGAGGUCUCAAGCGUUGUUCGGAAUCACUGGGCGUAAAGCGUGCGUAGGCUGUUUCGUAAGUCGUGUGUGAAAGGCGCGGGCUCAACCCGCGGACGGCACAUGAUACUGCGAGACGAGAGUAAGGGAGGGGGAACCGGAAUUCUCGGGGUAGCAGUGAAAUGCGUAGAUAUCGAGAGGAACACUCGUGGCGAAGGCGGGUUCCUGGACAGUAACUGACGCUGAGGCACGAAGGCCAGGGGAGCGAAAGGGAUUAGAUACCCGGGUAGUC